AUGAGGAGGAAGAGGCUCACCUUGUCAUCAUCAACGUCUGCGGAAGAAACCAAAGGGUCUUGUGGCACAUCAUGCUUGCCAGUGGCCGGCAAGGGCCGCUGCAUCGUGUACACUGACGACGGCACGAGGUUCGAGCUGCCGCUUGCGUUCCUUGGCUCGACGGUCUUUGGUGAGCUCUUGAGGAUGUCCCAAGAGGAGUUCGGCUUCGCAGGUCUAAGGAAUGAGCCUUGCGUUGCAACUUACAUUACCAGAGUCCUACUCCCUAGAGAUGGACUCGAAGUCAAUUGGAAAAUGCAGUAG
rnacentral:rRNA from 1 species